UACGUAGGCAGCAAGCGUUGUUCGGAAUUACUGGGCGUAAAGGGCUCGUAGGUGGCCAACUAAGUCAGACGUGAAAUCCCCCGGCUUAACCGGGGAACUGCGUCUGAUACUGGAUGGCUAGAGAUUGGGAGAGGGAUGCGGAAUUCCAGGUGUAGCGGUGAAAUGCGUAGAGAUGUGGAGGAACACCGAUGGCGAAGGCAGCCCCCUGGGUCAACACUGACGCUCAUGCACGAAAGCGUGGGGAGCAAACAGG
rnacentral:rRNA from 1 species